rnacentral:snRNA from 1 species
GUGCUCGCUUCAGCAGCACAUAUACUAAAAUUGGAAUGGUACAGAGAAGAUUGCACAAGGAUGUCAUACAAAUUCGUGAAGCAUUUAAAAAUAAA